GACGAACGCUGGCGGCGUGCUUAACACAUGCAAGUCGAACGGUAAGGCCCUUCGGGGUACACGAGUGGCGAACGGGUGAGUAACACGUGGGUGAUCUGCCCUGCACUUCGGGAUAAGCCUGGGAAACUGGGUCUAAUACCGGAUAGGACCACUGCCUGCAUGGGUGGUGGUGGAAAGCUUUUGCGGUGUGGGAUGGGCCCGCGGCCUAUCAGCUUGUUGGUGGGGUGAUGGCCCACCAAGGCGACGACGGGUAGCCGGCCUGAGAGGGUGACCGGCCACACUGGGACUGAGAUACGGCCCAGAUUCCUACGGGAGGCAGCAGUGGGGAAUAUUGCACAAUGGGCGCAAGCCUGAUGCAGCGACGCCGCGUGAGGGAUGACGGCCUUCGGGUUGUAAACCUCUUUCAGCACCGACGAAGCGCAAGUGACGGUAGGUGCAGAAGAAGGACCGGCCAACUACGUGCCAGCCGCCGCAGUAA
rnacentral:rRNA from 1 species